CGAAAUGUGUAUGGUCUGCUGGUGUAAGCUUUCCCCUUAGAUAAGGUCUAAAAAAGCACAGGAAGUAAAAGCUAGGCAAUUCUGGUUUAAUAUUUUAAUUUGUUACAGGUGAAAUGAAACAAAAAAACCACCUUAAUAAAAAAUCAGGGCUUUAAGGUACCUCAGUCUUUAGAAGUCAAACCUGGGAUAUGAUGUGGCUUAAUUUUCAGAGAAAGCAACUGAGUAUUUUCUUGAAGAUCUGGUUAGAUACAGUUCUUGAAACACCAGUGCACUUCCAUCACAUCCUGGCUGAGGCAUAUUUCCAUAAGGCCACUAAACCAAAAGAUAAUAUUGAUUUCUGUGAAAUCUGGCAUUUGCUAAGCCACUGGACUUUUAUUUACUUUGAAAGAAGCCCAGCAUCAAUGUAUUUGUUACGUGAUUCUUGAGUAUUUUGGUCAUUUUAGAUUUGCUGUACUUUUUUCUUGUGUUACAGGCAACCAUUAAUAGAUGCUCUCCCAUCUUGUGCUACAGAGGCAUGUGUUGUCCUAAUGAAAGACCUCAUAGCUUCUGCAGAAGUUGAGGAAGACAAAGUAGAAUAUUUCUUCUGGUCAUUUACAUUCAUUUCUAAUCCCACCUCAGGCAUGAUUGAAUCUCUUGCUGUGAGUGGAUGUUGCUUUUUCUUUUUUAAUUUGUAAUGAAUCUAGGUGGCUCAUAAUUUUUGUAUUUUACAGUAACAGUCUUCUUCACAGAUUCGUACAAAGCUCUGUCCAGGUAAUUUUGUUGAGAUUGAGUUUUAGUAUGUAAAUAUUUUGAUACAUUUAUUAUCUGUGGUAUGUUACAAUAGUCAUUCUCAUGACUUUUCUGAAACACCUUGCUCUUUUUGUACUUGUUUACAGCCUUUGCUGAAGUCACCUAGAGCAAGCCAGAGCUGCUUCUUGGGAGUAACUGCUCUUGUACAUAGGUUUUGUUCAGCUGACAGCUCCUGUGAUCAUGUACCUGCUGUGCAGAGUGUGAUGAGGACUCUUGGGAAAUUUUUGGGAGAAAACUGUACUGUGCAAGAUUCAGAACAUCUCAGCAAGAUGCAGCUGGUGUUGAAAGCCAUCGGAAAUGCGGGGCUAGCAGCAGCUUCGCUGGCUCCUGCUUUGAGCUCGUGUGCUUCCCUGAAGAGUCAUCCCGUGGAAAUUCGCCUCGCUGCUGUCCAAGCCUUCCGGCGCAUUCCCUGCUCUGUCAGGGUAUGUGGUUUACUGCCAGAGGUGACUGAUGGCUUCCUGGCACUGCUAGAGAUUUGGGAGUUUUGGU
rnacentral:lncRNA from 13 species